rnacentral:rRNA from 1 species
UACGAAGGGGGCAAGCGUUGUUCGGAAUUACUGGGCGUAAAGGGCUCGUAGGCGGCCAACUAAGUCAGACGUGAAAUCCCUCGGCUUAACCGGGGAACUGCGUCUGAUACUGGAUGGCUUGAGGUUGGGAGAGGGAUGCGGAAUUCCAGGUGUAGCGGUGAAAUGCGCAGAUAUCAGGAGGAACACCGGUGGCGAAGGCGGGACUCUGGGCCGAUACUGACGCUGAGGAGCGAAAGCGUGGGGAGCAAACAGG